CGCAAGGAGCCGGCCCCCUGCCUGCACGGCCAGCCCCAGCCCUGCCUCCUCCGGCCGGACCUGCGGAUUUACAGUUUGGUUCAGUGGCUCUCAGCACCCCCACUAUAAAAAUUGUUCCAGCAUCCCUGCGUAUAGUUGGGGGAAGAUGCUGUAGGGGUCUGCACUGUCUACUUGCUUACCCCACUAACAGCCAUGGGGGAAGAACAGCUACGUGCAGGAAGGAGGUGAAAAUGAAAAGGAUAAUAAUUCUAAUCGCCUGC